AAAUGAAUAGACGGGGGCCCGCACAAGCGGAGGAGCAUGUGGCUUAAUUCGAUGCAACGCGAAGAACCUUACCCGGGUUUGACAUGUAUCUGCAAGUCCUGUGAAAGCAGGAUUCCUUCGAGGGUGAUACACAGGUGCUGCAUGGCUGUCGUCAGUUCGUGCCGUGAGGUGUUUGGUUAAGUCCAGCAACGAACGCAACCCCUGUGCCCAAUUGCCAGCGCGUAAAGGCGGGAACUUUGGGCAGACUGCCUGUUCACACAGGAGGAAGGUGGGGACGACGUCAAGUCAGUAUGGCCCUUACAUCCGGGGCUGCACACGUGCUACAAUGGCCGGUACAAAGGGACGCGAGACCGCGAGGUGGAGCAAAUCCCCAGAGCCGGCCCCAGUUCAGAUUGCGGUCUGCAACCCGACCGCAUGAAGUCGGAUUCGCUAGUAACGGCGCAUCAGCUACGGCGCCGUGAAUACGUUCCCGGGCCUUGUACACACCGCCCGU
rnacentral:rRNA from 1 species